AGAGAACGCUGGCGGCACGCCUAACCCAUGCAAUUCGAACGAACUCUUCGGAGUUAGUGGCCGACGGGUGAGUAACACGUGGGAACGUGUCUUUAGGGUCGGAAUACCUCAGGGACACUCGUGCUAAUACCCCCUUUGCCCUUCGGGGGACAGAUUUAUCGCCUUUAGAGCGGUCCGCGUCUGAUUAGAUAGUUGGUGGGGUAAUGGCUCAACAAGGCUACGUUCAGUAUCGGGUCUGAGAGGAUGACCAGCCACAUGGUGACUGAGACACGGGCCAAACUCCUACGGGAGGCAGCAGUGGGGAAUCUUGCGCAAUGGGCGAAAGCAUGACGCAGCCAUGCCGCGUGGAUGAUGAAGGUCUUAGGAUUGUAAAAUCCUUUCACCGGUGAAGAUAAUGACUGUAGCCGGAGAAGAAGCCCCGGCUAACUUCGUGCCAGCCGCCGCCGUAAGAC
rnacentral:rRNA from 1 species